rnacentral:rRNA from 1 species
AUUGAACGCUGGCGGCAGGCUUAACACAUGCAAGUCGAGCGGGGACUUCGGUCCUAGCGGCGAACGGGUGAGGAAUGCUUGGGAAUCUGCCUGGUAGUGGGGGAUAACGUUUCGAAAGGAACGCUAAUACCGCAUACGUCCUACGGGAGAAAGGGGGGGAUCUUCGGACCUCUCGCUAUCAGAUGAGCCCAAGUCGGAUUAGCUAGUUGGUGAGGGAAUGGCUCACCAAGGCGACGAUCCGUAGCUGGUCUGAGAGGAUGAUCAGCCACACUGGAACUGAGACACGGUCCAGACUCCUACGGGAGGCAGCAGUGGGAAAUAUUGGACAAUGGGCGGAAGCCUGAUCCAGCCAUGCCGCGUGUGUGAAGAAGGCCUUCGGGUUGUAAAGCACUUUAAGCGAGGAGGAAUGGCUCUGGGUUAAUACCCUUGAGCAGUGACGUUACUCGCAGAAUAAGCACCGGCUAACUCUGUGCCAGCAGCCGCCGUAAUAC